CAAUAUUUUAAAGUUGUUUCUUUUCUGUGAUUUUAUUGUUGACCUUUAGAAUUUUACAAUAUAACUUUUGUCUUCUUGAUUUGGCUCGAGGUCAUCGAACAAUUUACAAAAACAGUUGAAGAAAAUUCGAUAUCCUAGAGCAACUCUAGCGCAGUACUCUGCCCUUAAAACGUGUAUUUGCCACCUGCAGCCAUCGAAGAAAGCAUCAGCUCUACCAAGAAACUCGCACAGGGGAAUCCUCGUUCCGUUACAAUUUUGCGUCUAUCAGCGAUUUUACCAGCCCACAAAAAUGGCCUUAACUCUUUUGAAGUACUUUUACCAAUGAAGAACGCAGGUUUUUACCCGAUUAUGGUGGAAUUUGGAUCGAAAACUUAUUUCAGGCCCUUUAAUAUCCGUGACGAAUAUGGUUUGGAUCAGACCAUAUUUACCCUUUAACACCCAUUGCGAAUAUGGUCCAUUUCGGCUUAUUAUCAGGUCCACUGUUUAUGUAAAUAUAUCCAUCGUGAUGGGGACCACCGUGGGGCAGAAUUUAGCAAAUUUUUUAGCGGUGGUUAUUCCCUUCUCAUACCAGCGACAUUUGUGUUGUACUGUGCCAUGUAUAGAAGCCAAGUUAAGCUUUUCCCCAAAGGGGUGCGCACUGCGGCACGCCAUUCGAACUCGGUUCAAAAGGAGGUCCUUUAUCAUUCAGCUUAAAACUUAAAUCGGAUAGCACUCAUUAAUAUGUGAGAAAUUUGCACCCUAAAAGGAAUUUUUGCACACAAAUUUUUCUUUGCUGCAUCCAUGAUGAAGGGUAUAUGUGAUUCGGCCCGACUGAACUUAACUUAACAUUUGAAAAAUUCAAUUUUCAAAUGUUUAAAUAUUGUCGGUAAGACUUAACGACUACUAGUUUUUGGUUGUUAAUUUUCGGUAGUUACCAAAAGUUCAUAUCGAUGAAUUUCUGUCAAAUAACACUUAUCGACAAUUAUCAUUAACUUCCGACAAAUAUCGUUAAUUCUGUCGGUAAGGAUUUAAAGGAUAGAAAUACAGGAGCAAUCGAAAAGUUAUGUUACUUGAUAUAAAUAGUUAAAACAAAUGUUAAAAUUUAAGUAUUUGAGUGUAAUUAAGUAUGAAAAAAGGAAAUAAACACAAACACGUA
rnacentral:sRNA from 1 species